rnacentral:rRNA from 1 species
UACGUAGGGGGCAAGCGUUGUCCGGAAUCAUUGGGCGUAAAGAGCGUGUAGGCGGCCCGAUAAGUCCGCUGUGAAAGUCCAGGGCUCAACCCUGGAAUGCCGGUGGAUACUGUCGGGCUCGAAUCCGGAAGAGGUGAGUGGGAAUUCCUGGUGUAGCGGUGAAAUGACGCAGAUAUCAGGAAGAACACCCGUGGCGAAGGCGGCUCUCUGGGACGUGACUGACGCUGAGACGCGAAAGCGUGGGGAGCAAACAGG